CAGGGGCUGACAUCCAGCUGGCAGCGGGUAGAGCCUUCAGCAGACCGUGCCUUCAUUCCAUUGGGCUGACAAGGGUGUGGGAGACCAGUGAGUCCCAGGGACAUGAGCUCACUGCCAUGCUCCUAGGCUUUAAGUCACAGCAUCCUGAAGUCAACAUAUCAAAGGGACACCUGCACCUCCUUGCUUAAUGCAGCAGCAUUCACAGUAGCCAAGAUACGGAUUCAUCCUAAGAUACAGAUGGAUGAAUGGAUACAGAAAAUGUGGUACGUACACACAAUAGAAUACCCUUCAGCCAC